GACGAACGCUGGCGGCGUGCUUAACACAUGCAAGUCGAACGGAAAGGCCCUGCUUUUGUGGGGUGCUCGAGUGGCGAACGUGUGAGUUACACGUGAUUAACCUGCCCUGGAGUUUGCGAUAACUUCAUGAAAUUAGUGCUAAUUCAUGAUAGUAGCUCCUGCUACAUGGUGGGUGUUGCUAAGUUUCUGCGGGUGGGGCUGGAGUCGCGUCUUAUCGUCUUGGUGGUGGGGUAGUGGCUUACCAAGGCUUUGACGGGUUCCAGGCCUGAGAGGGUGACCGGCAAAAUUGGGACUGAGAUACGGCACACACUACUAAGGGAGGCAGCAGUGUGGAAGAUUGAACGAUGCGGGGAAGCCUGAUGCAGCAACGCCGCGUGAUGGAUGAUAGACUUCGGGUUGUAAGCCGCUUUAACGUGUGACGAAGCGUGAGUGACGGUAAUGGGUAAAGAAGCACCGGCUAACUACGUG
rnacentral:rRNA from 1 species